GAAUGUGAAGGCGAUCUGGCUGCGACAUCUGUCACCCCAUUGAUCGCCAGGGUUGAUCUGGCUGGCCAGGCCGUGUCCCCUUCUUCUCUCACCGCUUCGGGUGCUUCCCUCCCGAAACUGCGCGCUCAGUCGAAGAGGACGACCUUUCCGGAUAGAGGAGAGGACCGUUCUUCGGUCAAGGGUAUACGAGUAGUUGCGCUUCCCUGCUAGAACCUCCAAACAAACUCUCAAGGUCUAUUUAUAGGAGAACGUAGGGUAGCCAAGCUUCCAAGACUCCAGACACAUCCCAGUGAGGCGCUGCAUGUGGCAGUCUGCACUUUUUG
rnacentral:snRNA from 1 species